rnacentral:tRNA from 1 species
GGCGUAGUGGUCACUGCACUCGCCUUGCACGCGGGAGACCCGGGUUCGAUUCCUGGCUGAGUCA